GAUGAACGCUGGCGGCGUGCCUAAUACAUGCAAGUCGAGCGAACAGACGAGGAGCUUGCUCCUUCGACGUUAGCGGCGGACGGGUGAGUAACACGUCGGUAACCUACCUAUAAGACUGGGAUAACUUCGGGAAACCGGAGCUAAUACCGGAUAAUAUUUCGAACCGCAUGGUUCGAUAGUGAAAGAUGGCUUUGCUAUCACUUAUAGAUGGACCUGCGCCGUAUUAGCUAGUUGGUAAGGUAACGGCUUACCAAGGCAACGAUACGUAGCCGACCUGAGAGGGUGAUCGGCCACACUGGAACUGAGACACGGUCCAGACUCCUACGGGAGGCAGCAGUAGGGAAUCUUCCGCAAUGGGCGAAAGCCUGACGGAGCAACGCCGCGUGAGUGAUGAAGGUCUUCGGAUCGUAAAACUCUGUUAUUAGGGAAGAACAAACGUGUAAGUAACUGUGCACGUCUUGACGGUACCUAAUCAGAAAGCCACGGCUAACUACGUG
rnacentral:rRNA from 1 species